rnacentral:rRNA from 1 species
UGGGGAAUAUUGGACAAUGGGCGCAAGCCUGAUCCAGCCAUGCCGCGUGAGUGAUGAAGGCCCUAGGGUUGUAAAGCUCUUUCACCGGUGAAGAUAAUGACGGUAACCGGAGAAGAAGCCCCGGCUAACUUCGUGCCAGCAGCCGCGGUAAUACGAAGGGGGCUAGCGUUGUUCGGAUUUACUGGGCGUAAAGCGCACGUAGGCGGACUUUUAAGUCAGGGGUGAAAUCCCGGGGCUCAACCCCGGAACUGCCUUUGAUACUGGAAGUCUUGAGUAUGGUAGAGGUGAGUGGAAUUCCGAGUGUAGAGGUGAAAUUCGUAGAUAUUCGGAGGAACACCAGUGGCGAAGGCGGCUCACUGGACCAUUACUGACGCUGAGGUGCGAAAGCGUGGGGAGCAAACAGGAUUAGAUACCCUGAUAGUCCACGCCGUAAACGAUGAAUGUUAGCCGUUGGGGAGUUUACUCUUCGGUGGCGCAGCUAACGCAUUAAACAUUCCGCCUGGGGAGUACGGUCGCAAGA